UGUAAACAUCAGAGAAAAAAAGCUUAAUAAAAAUACAAAGAAACUAAACUGGUGCAUGGUAGCUAGAAACAAUAUAAAAGGUACAUGCCAGGGGAGGGAAACAAGGUGUCUGUGUUUGCUGUUCACGGUUGUGUGUGAUGAUUUCCUAUCAUCACACACAACCAUAAAAACCAUUAAAUAACACCCGCAAGGAUUCAUCUUGAGAGAAUACAUGAUUAUUCAAAACAUCGAUCACUAAACUACAGCAGAAUUCUUAUCCUAGGAGGUUGGGGUUAGACAGGGGAAGGUGAUGACACUGAGGACAGGGUGAGUUGUUUAAGGUACGGCAGUGAAGAAAAGUGCUGAAUGAAUGAAAAAUCAUCCCCCACAUUCAUAGUGCUGGAGUAAAGUACUGCAUCAGAGUAUAUCUGUACCUACCUACAUCUCUAGUCUUAACAGCAUGUCAAGUCACAGGAGUAUUAGUUACAGGACACACCAGCACGCCACCAGAUACACUCUGUGGAGUUAAAUUAUUUACAAGUGUUUCAUAAGAAUGGCAAAUGUGAACAAGGUUCUGUGAAAACCAAAACUUCACAUUAAUUUCACAUUU